rnacentral:rRNA from 1 species
GAUGAACGCUGGCGGCGUGCCUAACACAUGCAAGUCGAACGGAACUUUUAUGGAAUGAGACUUCGGUCGAAUGAAGUUUAAGUUUAGUGGCGGACGGGUGAGUAACGCGUGAGUAACCUGCCUUUCACAGGGGGAUAACGUUUGGAAACGAACGCUAAUACCGCAUAACAUAUCGUUGUCGCAUGGCAGUGAUAUCAAAGAUUUUAUCGGUGAAAGAUGGACUCGCGUCCGAUUAGAUAGUUGGUGAGGUAACGGCUCACCAAGUCUACGAUCAGUAGCCGGACUGAGAGGUCGAUCGGCCACAUUGGGACUGAGACACGGCCCAGACUCCUACGGGAGGCAGCAGUGGGGGAUAUUGCGCAAUGGGGGCAACCCUGACGCAGCAACGCCGCGUGAAGGAUGAAGGUUUUCGGAUCGUAAACUUCUUUAAGUUGGGAAGAUAAUGACGGUACCAACAGAAUAAGCCAACGGCUAACUACGUG